rnacentral:rRNA from 1 species
GACGAACGCUGGCGGCGUGCUUAACACAUGCAAGUCGAACGGAAAGGCCCUGCUCUUGUGGGGUGCUCGAGUGGCGAACGGGUGAGUAACACGUGAGUAACCUGUCCUUGACUUUGGGAUAACUUCAGGAAACUGGGGCUAAUAUCGGAUAGGAGCUCCUGCUGCAUGGUGGGGGUUGGAAAGUUUCGGCGGUUGGGGAUGGACUCGCGGCUUAUCCGCUUGUUGGUGGGGUAGUGGCUUACCAGGGCUUCGACGGGUAGCCGGCCUGAGAAGGUGACCGGCCACAUUGGGACUGAGGUACGGCCCAGACUGCUACGGGAGGCAGCAGUGGGGAAUAUUGCACAGUGGGGGGAAGCCUGAUGCAGCGGCGCCGCGUGCGGGAUGACGGCCUUCGGGUUGUAAACCGCUUUCGCCUGUGACGAAGCGGGAGUGACGGUAAUGGGUAAAGAAGCACCGGCUAACUACGUG